rnacentral:rRNA from 2 species
UAAAUACUAAUACCAGAUCGAUAGUGCACAAGUACCGUGAGGGAAAGGUGAAAAGAACUGAGGUGAUCAGAGUGAAAUAGAACCUGAAACCAUUUGCUUACAAUCAUUCAGAGCCCUAUGUAGCAAUACAGGGUGAUGGACUGCCUUUUGCAUAAUGAGCCUGCGAGUUGUGGUGUCUGGCAAGGUUAAGCAAACGCGAAGCCGUAGCGAAAGCGAGUCUGAAUAGGGCGCUUAGUCAGAUGCUGCAGACCCGAAACGAAGUGAUCUAUCCAUGAGCAAGUUGAAGCUAGUGUAAGAACUAGUGGAGGACUGAACCCAUAGGCGUUGAAAAGCCCCGGGAUGACUUGUGGAUAGGGGUGAAAGGCCAAUCAAACUUCGUGAUAGCUGGUUCUCUCCGAAAUAUAUUUAGGUAUAGCGUUGUGUCGUAAUAUAAGGGGGUAGAGCACUGAAUGGGCUAGGGCAUACACCAAUGUACCAAACCCUAUCAAACUCCGAAUACCUUAUAUGUAAUCACAGCAGUCAGGCGGCGAGUGAUAAAAUCCGUCGUCAAGAGGGAAACAACCCAGACUACCAGCUAAGGUCCCUAAAUCUUACUUAAGUGGAAAACGAUGUGAAGUUACUUAAACAACCAGGAGGUUGGCUUAGAAGCAGCCAUCCUUUAAAGAAAGCGUAAUAGCUCACUGGUCUAGUGAUUUUGCGCGGAAAAUAUAACGGGGCUAAAGUAA